UGCUCCAGUUGAUCGCAUGGUCUUCUGGGAAAGCUUUCGCGGUAUGGGAUGGGGUCGCGUCCUAUCAGCUUGACGGCGGGGUAACGGCCCACCGUGGCUUCGACGGGUAGCCGGCCUGAGAGGGCGACCGGCCACAUUGGGACUGAGAUACGGCCCAGACUCCUACGGGAGGCAGCAGUGGGGAAUAUUGCACAAUGGGCGCAAGCCUGAUGCAGCGACGCCGCGUGAGGGAUGGAGGCCUUCGGGUUGUAAACCUCUUUUAUCGGGGAGCAAGCGAGAGUGAGUUUACCCGUUGAAUAAGCACCGGCUAACUACGUGCCAGCAGCCGCGGUAAUACGUAGGGUGCAAGCGUUAUCCGGAAUUAUUGGGCGUAAAGGGCUCGUAGGCGGUUCGUCGCGUCCGGUGUGAAAGUCCAUCGCUUAACGGUGGAUCCGCGCCGGGUACGGGCGGGCUUGAGUGCGGUAGGGGAGACUGGAAUUCCCGGUGUAACGGUGGAAUGUGUAGAUAUCGGGAAGAACACCAAUGGCGAAGGCAGGUCUCUGGGCCGUUACUGACGCUGAGGAGCGAAAGCGUGGGGAGCGAACAGGAUUAGAUACCCUGGUAGUCCACGCCGUAAACGGUGGAUGCUGGAUGUGGGGCCCUUUUUCCGGGUCCUGUGUCGGAGCUAACGCGUUAAGCAUCCCGCCUGGGGAGUACGGCCGCAAGGCUAAAACUCAAAGGAAUUGACGGGGCCCCGCACAAGCGGCGGAGCAUGCGGAUUAAUUCGAUGCAACGCGUAGAACCUUACCUGGGUUUGACAUGGAUCGGGAGUGCUCAGAGAUGGGUGUGCCUCUUUUGGGGUCGGUUCACAGGUGGUGCAUGGCUGUCGUCAGCUCGUGUCGUGAGAUGUUGGGUUAAGUCCCGCAACGAGCGCAACCCUUGUUCACUGUUGCCAGCACGUUAUGGUGGGGACUCAGUGGAGACCGCCGGGGUCAACUCGGAGGAAGGUGGGGAUGACGUCAAGUCAUCAUGCCCCUUAUGUCCAGGGCUUCACGCAUGCUACAAUGGCUGGUACAGAGAGUGGCGAGCCUGUGAGGGUGAGCGAAUCUCGGAAAGCCGGUCUCAGUUCGGAUUGGGGUCUGCAACUCGACCUCAUGAAGUCGGAGUCGCUAGUAAUCGCAGAUCAGCAACGC
rnacentral:rRNA from 1 species